rnacentral:rRNA from 1 species
UACGAAGGGGGCUAGCGUUGUCGGAAUUACUGGGCGUAAAGCGCACGUAGGCGGAUUGUUAAGUCAGGGGUGAAAUCCUGGAGCUCAACUCCAGAACUGCCCUUGAUACUGGCGGCCUUGAGUCCGGGAGAGGUGAGUGGAACUGCGAGUGUAGAGGUGAAAUUCGUAGAUAUUCGCAAGAACACCAGUGGCGAAGGCGGCUCACUGGCCCGGUACUGACGCUGAGGUGCGAAAGCGUGGGGAGCAAACAGGG